GACGAACCGUGCGAACGUUGUUCGGAAUCACUGGGCGUAAAGGGCGCGUAGGCGGCUUUGUAAGUCACUUGUGAAAUCUCCGGGCUUAACUCGGAACGGCCAAGUGAUACUGCAAUGCUAGAGUGCAGAAGGGGCAAUCGGAAUUCUUGGUGUAGCGGUGAAAUGCGUAGAUAUCAAGAGGAACACCUGAGGUGAAGACGGGUUGCUGGGCUGACGCUGACGCUGAUGCGCGAAAGCCAGGGGAGCAAACGGG
rnacentral:rRNA from 1 species